rnacentral:rRNA from 1 species
AGUAGUCAUAUGCUUGUCUCAAAGAUUAAGCCAUGCAUGUCUCAGUGCAAGCCAAAUUAAGGUGAAACCGCGAAUGGCUCAUUAAAUCAGUUAUGGUUCCUUGGAUCCUACCAAUCCUACUUGGAUAACUGUGGUAAUUCUAGAGCUAAUACGUGCACCCAGAGCUCCGUCCAGAAAUGGCCGGGGCGCAGUUAUUAGAUCAAAACCAAUCGGUCGGGUUCGCCCGUCCGUCGUUUUGGUGACUCUGAAUAACCACAGUUGAUCGCACGGCCUCGCGCCGGCGACGUAUCCUUCGAAUGUCUGCCUUAUCAACUGUCGAUGGUAGGUUCUGCGCCUACCAUGGUUGUAACGGGUAACGGGGAAUCAGGGUUCGAUUCCGGAGAGGGAGCCUGAGAAACGGCUACCACAUCCAAGGAAGGCAGCAGGCGCGCAAAUUACCCACUCCCGGCACGGGGAGGUAGUGACGAAAAAUAACGAUACGGGACUCAUCCGAGGCCCCGUAAUCGGAAUGAGAACACUUUAAAUCUUUUAACGAGUACCUAAUGGAGGGCAAGUCUGGUGCCAGCAGCCGCGGUAAUUCCAGCUCCAUUGGCGUAUAUUAAAGUUGUUGCGGUUA